rnacentral:tRNA from 1 species
GGAGAGAUGGCCGAGUGGUCGAAGGCGCUCCCCUGCUAAGGGAGUAAGGGCCAAAAGCUCUUCGAGGGUUCGAAUCCCUCUCUCUCCGCCA